GACGAACGCUGGCGGCGUGCCUAAUACAUGCAAGUCGAACGAGAGCGCCCGGUGCUUGCACUGGUCAAUCUAGUGGCGAACGGGUGAGUAACACGUGGGUAACCUGCUCAUCAGAGGGGGAUAACAUCCGGAAACGGAUGCUAAAACCGCAUAGGUCUUCGAGCCGCAUGGCUUGAAGAGGAAAAGAGGCGCAAGCUUCUGCUGAUGGAUGGACCCGCGGUGCAUUAGCUAGUUGGUGAGGUAACGGCUCACCAAGGCCGUGAUGCAUAGCCGACCUGAGAGGGUGAUCGGCCACAUUGGGACUGAGACACGGCCCAAACUCCUACGGGAGGCAGCAGUAGGGAAUCUUCCGCAAUGGACGCAAGUCUGACGGAGCAACGCCGCGUGAGUGAAGAAGGUUUUCGGAUCGUAAAACUCUGUUGUUAGAGAAGAACAAGUGCUAGAGUAACUGUUAGCGACUUGACGGUAUCUAACCAGAAAGCCACGGCUAACUACGUG
rnacentral:rRNA from 1 species